rnacentral:rRNA from 1 species
AUUGAACGCUGGCGGCAGGCCUAACACAUGCAAGUCGAACGAGUGGCGGACGGGUGAGUAAUGUCUGGGAAACUGCCCGAUGGAGGGGGAUAACUACUGGAAACGGUAGCUAAUACCGCAUACCAUCGGAUGUGCCCAGAUGGGAUUCGCUAGUAGGUGGGGUAACGGCUCACCUAGGCUACGAUCCCUAACUGGUCUGAGAGGAUGACCAGCCACUCUGUAACUGAGACACGGUCCAGACUCCUACGAGAGGCCUCGUUGGUGAAUAUUUCACAAUGGGCGCAUGCCUGAUGCAGCCAUUCCGCGUGUGUGAAGAGGGCCUUCGGGUUGUAAAGUACUUUCAGCGGGGAGGCGUUACCCGCAGAAGAAGCACCGGCUAACUCCGUGCCAGCAGCCGCGGUAAUUC